rnacentral:rRNA from 1 species
AACGAACGCUGGCGGCAUGCCUAACACAUGCAAGUCGAACGAGACAUUCGGGUCUAGUGGCGCACGGGUGAGUAACGCGUGGGAACCUGCCCUUAGGUUCGGAAUAACUUCCCGAAAGGGGUGCUAAUACCGGAUAAUGUCUUCGGACCAAAGAUUUAUCGCCUUUGGAUGGGCCCGCGUUGGAUUAGCUAGUUGGUAGGGUAAAAGCCUACCAAGGCGACGAUCCAUAGCUGGUCUGAGAGGAUGAUCAGCCACACUGGGACUGAGACACGGCCCAGACUCCUACGGGAGGCAGCAGGGGGGAAUAUUGGACAAUGGGCGAGAGCCUGAGCCAGCAAUGCCGCGUGAGUGAUGAAGGCCUUAGGGUUGUAAAGCUCUUUUACCCGGGAUGAUAAUGACAGUACCGGGAGAAUAAGCUCCGGCAAACUCCGU